rnacentral:misc_RNA from 1 species
GAUGAAGAACGUAGCGAAAUGCGAUAAGUAAUGUGAAUUGCAGAAUUCAGUGAAUCAUCGAAUCUUCGAACGCACAUUGCGCCCGCCAGUAUUCUGGCGGGCAUGCCUGUUCGAGCGUCAUUUCAACCCUCAAGACCCCUUCGGGGGACUUGGUGUUGGGGAUCGGCCCAGCCUUCCUGUAAGGCCGCCGGCCCCGAAAUCUAGUGGCGGUCUCGCUGUAGUCCUCCUCUGCGUAGUAGCACAACCUCGCAGUUGGAACGCGGCGGUGGCCAUGCCGUUAAACACCCCACUUCUGAAAGUUGACCUCGGAUCAGGUAGGAAUACCCGCUGAACUUAAGCAUAUCAAUAAGCGGAGGA